CAGAGUAUAGUUUAAAAAAAAUACUAAUUUUGGAGAUUAGUGAUAGGGGAAUUCUUACUCUGA
rnacentral:tRNA from 1 species